rnacentral:rRNA from 1 species
GACGUAGGGCGCGAGGCGUUGUCCGGAUUUAUUGGGCGUAAAGAGCUCGUAGGCGGCUUGUCGCGUCGUCCGUGAAAACCUGCAGCUCAACUGCAGGCUUGCGGUCGAUACGGGCAGGCUAGAGUUCGGUAGGGGAGAACUGGAAUUCCUGGUGUAGCGGUGAAAUGCGCAGAUAUCAGGAGGAACACCGGUGGCGAAGGCGGGUCUCUGGGCCGAUACUGACGCUGAGGAGCGAAAGGCGUGGGGGAGCGAACAGG